rnacentral:tRNA from 1 species
GCAGAUGUGGCGAAACUGGCAGACGCACAGGACUUAAAAUCCUGCGGGACUUAAACUCCCGUGCCGGUUCGAUUCCGGCCAUCUGCACCA